rnacentral:lncRNA from 1 species
CACCGUCGUGCCGCACUUCAAGUAAAUCUUCCGUGUCGCUGGUUGACGUCACGCCGGCGACCCCGGAUGGUAGCGCAGCUCUGCCUGGCCCCUUCCGUAACCUCUGUUUCGCCCCUUCCGAAACCAGUGGCGAAAAGCCGAGACGACUUCGUGAGUUCUUGCUAACGAUUCUCGGCCUAGGCGCUGAGUCGAGUCACGCUGGAUCUCGGACAGGGAUUGCAAGGACUUUGGAGUGAUCAGUGUAAAAUCUCACCCUUUCCUACUUGCCAAGAAAACCCUGGACAAGAGUCUUGAAUUUUGACGCCCUGUCUCCUCAUUCAUAAAGGGGGGAUAAAAAUGUCUCCUAAGGCUAUAAAGAAGAAAUCUUUGUGAAAUAUGAUAAUGAUUGGUUUUCAUUCACUCGACAUUUUCUGAGAACUUUGCCCAAGACUGAUGGGGACAGUGACUGCAGUGGCGAAACCUACAAGCAAAGUCCCUUUCAUGAUGAAAUUGACGUUUUAAGAAAUCUGCAACUUUUAAUAGGAUCCGUAAAGAAAACAAAGCAGUUCUGAGGUGAAGUGAAUUCCCUAAGCCCUGAGUACAAUAACUGUGGUGUCUGUGAAAUAGAACUUCCAAACUUCCUCAUGCUGAAGACAAGCGCCGAGGAAGUUUAAACUAAUAUUCUUAGGCUGGCUAAGCACAACCUAGAGCUUGUUUCUAUAAUCUAUAUAGAAUCUAUAAUCUAUAUCCAUCCUAAUCUUUGUUUCUAUAAAUUGUAACCAUUCUGUAGGACCAGUGGAGAAACAUGGUAGUUGCUUCUCCUCGUUUUGAUUAAACUGCAUAAAAUCAUUUUUUUCUUUUACAUCCUUUGCUUACAGCUUAGGCCGGUAGGUAGCAUAAUCCAGCCAGCCAGGAUCCAGGCCAGGCGGAGUCUCUUGCUUGGCUGCAGGUAACACUUGUUAAGUUGUUGUAUGGUAGCAGAGAGGAGAGAAUCAGGCUUCUGUUUCGUUUUCUUUUCAGGAGUAGGGGUGAGAGCAGCUCAGCACCUACAGUACCUGAAAACGCCUAGAAUGGAUAUGUCCUUAGUUGUUGAUGACAGGCAAGCUGUGACAUGUUUUUUAAAACAAGCAGGAAAAGAUCUCAACUCAACUGCACUUUUACAGCUUAUCACAAGCUUCUCAAACU